rnacentral:rRNA from 1 species
AUGAACGCUGGCGGCGUGCUUAACACAUGCAAGUCGGGCGAAGCACUUAACUUUGAUUCUUUCGGGAUGAAGAGUUCUGUGACUGAGCGGCGGACGGGUGAGUAACGCGUGGGUAACCUGCCUCAUACAGGGGGAUAACAGUUAGAAAUGGCUGCUAAUACCGCAUAAGACCACAGCACCGCAUGGUGCAGGGGUAAAAACUCCGGUGGUAUGAGAUGGACCCGCGUCUGAUUAGCUAGUUGGUGGGGUAACGGCCUACCAAGGCGACGAUCAGUAGCCGACCUGAGAGGGUGACCGGCCACAUUGGGACUGAGACACGGCCCAAACUCCUACGGGAGGCAGCAGUGGGGAAUAUUGCACAAUGGGGGAAACCCUGAUGCAGCGACGCCGCGUGAGCGAAGAAGUAUUUCGGUAUGUAAAGCUCUAUCAGCAGGGAAGAAAAUGACGGUACCUGACUAAGAAGCCCCGGCUAACUACGUGCCAGCAGCCGCGGUAAUACGUAGGGGGCAAGCGUUAUCCGGAUUUACUGGGUGUAAAGGGAGCGUAGACGGCGAGGCAAGUCUGAUGUGAAAACCCGGGGCUCAACCCCGUGACUGCAUUGGAAACUGUUUUGCUUGAGUGCCGGAGAGGUAAGCGGAAUUCCUAGUGUAGCGGUGAAAUGCGUAGAUAUUAGGAGGAACACCAGUGGCGAAGGCGGCUUACUGGACGGCAACUGACGUUGAGGCUCGAAAGCGUGGGGAGC